rnacentral:rRNA from 1 species
ACGGGAGGCAGCAGUGGGGAAUAUUGCACAAUGGGGGAAACCCUGAUGCAGCAACGCCGCGUGAAGGAUGAAGGUUUUCGGAUCGUAAACUUCUAUCAACAGGGAAGAAACAAAUGACGGUACCUGAAUAAGAAGCCCCGGCUAACUACGUGCCAGCAGCCGCGGUAAUACGUAGGGGGCAAGCGUUAUCCGGAAUUACUGGGUGUAAAGGGAGCGUAGGCGGCAUGUCAAGCCAGAUGUGAAAGCCCGGGGCUUAACCCCGAGGAUUGCAUUUGGAACUGGCAAGCUAGAGUACAGGAGAGGAAAGCGGAAUUCCUAGUGUAGCGGUGAAAUGCGUAGAUAUUAGGAAGAACACCAGUGGCGAAGGCGGCUUUCUGGACUGAAACUGACGCUGAGGCUCGAAAGCGUGGGGAGCAAACAGGAUUAGAUACCCUGGUA